CAUUACCGAGUUUACAACUCCCAAACCCCUGUGAACAUACCUUAAUGUUGCCUCGGCGGAUCAGCCCGCGCCCCGUAAAACGGGACGGCCCGCCAGAGGACCCAAACUCUAAUGUUUCUUAUUGUAACUUCUGAGUAAAACAAACAAAUAAAUCAAAACUUUCAACAACGGAUCUCUUGGUUCUGGCAUCGAUGAAGAACGCAGCAAAAUGCGAUAAGUAAUGUGAAUUGCAGAAUUCAGUGAAUCAUCGAAUCUUUGAACGCACAUUGCGCCCGCUGGUAUUCCGGCGGGCAUGCCUGUUCGAGCGUCAUUUCAACCCUCAAGCCCCCGGGUUUGGUGUUGGGGAUCGGCUCUGCCUUCUGGCGGUGCCGCCCCCGAAAUACAUUGGCGGUCUCGCUGCAGCCUCCAUUGCGUAGUAGCUAACACCUCGCAACUGGAACGCGGCGCGGCCAUGCCGUAAAACCCCAACUUCUGAAUGUUGACCU
rnacentral:rRNA from 3 species